rnacentral:lncRNA from 1 species
CUCUGCUCAGUCAUAUGUGGGUGGCGGCGUUAUUUUUAAACUUACAAGAAUGACUUUGUCUCUAACCCAAUAAAAGCUCGCUGCAAAUGUGUAACCUCACAGCAAUUUACUAAAAAAAAAAUUGCCAUACCUUUCCCCACAUAGACAAUUAAUGUGCCGGAAAAUCAAAUGCACGUGUGAUGCCACUAUGGAAGAUACACCUGGAGGAGGCCAGGAUUUCAUGCAUCGUCCCAGGCAACUGUUGCCAAGGAGACAGGAAUGUUGUGCAGGGAGGCAGGUAGCAGCUAACCUGUAGGGAGGCAGGGCAGUUAGGCAGGAGAAGAAGAGAGAUGAGGUAUCCAACGGGAAGAGAAAUAAGUGUUGCUAAGAUCCUAUGGAGAGUAUUCACUGAGAAGAAGCUGUGAUCAGAUGUUGGAAUCUGACGUUGGUCCAACUAGGUAGUGUUAGAUCCGGGAAUUAGGGAUGGGGGGGGUGACUUUAGACUGCAAUGUGUCUUCUUCUAUUACUAUUAUUAUACUUCACCUUUUCCCUUGACAGGGACUCAAGGUGGCCUAUAGAUAAAAAUAACAACAGCUGAAAUCACAGGGAAAUAACAAUUAAAAAACCAUUAAACAUUGAGUGGAUUAAAACUACACACACACACACAUCUAGUAAAGGUAAAGGGACCGCUGACCAUUAGGUCCAGUCGUGGCCGACUCUGGGGUUGCGGCGCUCAUCUUGCUUUAUUGGCCAAGGGAGCCGGCGUACAGCUUCCGGGUCAUGUGGCCAGCAUGACUAAGCCACUUCUGGCGAACCAGAGCAGUGCACGGAAACGGCGUUUACCUUCCCGCCAGAGCGGUACCUAUUUAUCUACUUGCACUUUGCUGUGCUUUCGAACUGCUAGGCUGGCAGGAGCUGGGACAGAGGAACAGGAGCUCACCCCGUUGCGGGGAUUUGAACCGCCGACCUUCUGAUUGGCAAGUCCUAGGCUCUGUGGUUUAACCCACAGCACCACCGCAAAACUAUACAAAUACAAUAAAAACAGUCCAGCGCACAGUGAAGCACACGACUAGAUUUCUGUUCUCCUUCCUGCUCUCUUCCCCACCACUCUGUUUUUUGUUUCUGUGUCCGUGUUACGUACGUCAGAGCAACAGGCAGCAAAGAACGGUGUGCCAACCCCGAUUAGAAGCAAAGGAAAUGCUCUCGAACACGUGCCGCUUCACAUUUUAAUCUCACUUGAACCUUAGCACCUUCGUGACUACAGGAAUAAAAUAAGAGCUUGCUUCUUCUGCCCUGAUACUAAAUGCAUCGACCUGCAAAUAGAAGAAGAAUGAGGAGUAUAUUUUCAAAGUGAAGGUAAUAGCCAUGCAGACAUGCCAAGCUAUUCAGCCAAAACCUCAAACUUGUGACACUUGUGGCACUAAGCGUACACCUUGCUGAUCCUCUCCUACAGGUGAACAGAACAUGGAUUUCAUAUGGAGGGUUUGAACAGCUUGCAGUUCACCUUCAUUCCCUUGUGUGCAUUUUCUAGUAUUUAGUCUUUGUGCCUUUAAGCUUAACGAUCGUAAGUGUUGGGUGAAAUAUACAAAACAAUUCACAUUUCACGACGUCUGUUUUGACAUUAGUCUUCUUAAGUGUAUUUUAUACUUCAGCAAAGUAGCUGUAAACAUCAUGAAUGCUGAGGGUGGAGGGGGAUGCCAAGGAUCAUUUGACAGCACAUUUGGGAAGGAGGACGAGAUAAAAUAAUAAUAAUAAUAAUUUGGAUGGAUGUGAACUGUAGGGAAGAUACGGAGAAAAAGAGGGGAAAGUAUUGCUUAUAUACAUCUGCCAAGUCCACGCACUGAAUAUAUAGCACUUUCUGAUUGGUCAAAGCACUUCAGUUUAGUAAAUUUGAGGUGGUUUUUUAAUUAUUAUUUUUAAAAGGCUUGUUGUUUCAUUUUUUCCUCAAAAUGAGUGGGAUUAGGAGUAACUUGAAUCCAUUGGUUUGAGUCGUACCCUCCGGAGUAGGGGUAAAACAAGCUUGCUCCCUCUUCCAUGUGACAGCCCUUCAGCUAUUUGAAGGUGGCUAUCAUAUCUCCUCAUUUGCAGGCUAAACAUAACCAACUCCUUCAACCAUUCCUCAUAAGGCUUGGUUUCCAGACCCUUGAUCGUCUUGGUCACCCUCCUCUGCACACAUUCCAGGCUGUCAAAAUCCUUCUUAAACUCUGGUGCCCAGAACUGGACACGGGAUUCCAAGUGUGGUCUGAUCAAGGCAAAAUAGAGUUGUACUAUUACUCCCCUUGGUCUGGACACUAGACUUCUGCUGAUGCAGCUUAGUAUAGCAUUGCAUUUUUGGCCUAGAUCUGUUUCAUCAUCUGCCAAUGUGGAAAUAUGUGUAUUAUGGGACUUCUUUAUGUAGCACGCAACAGCUGUUUAUAUCUCAGCAAUUAACAUAUUUACUAAUCCUUAUUUACCUUCCUUGCAUGUUCUCUUUCAAAGUUAACGUGUUUCGAGAGGGGUAGCCCUAUUUGCAAAAACUGCAAAGAACAUUGAGACACCUUAAAGACAAGGGUUAAUGAAGUUCAUCACAAAGCCAUCUAUGCCUGCAAACCCAACCAUGCCUACUCAGAAG